rnacentral:rRNA from 1 species
UACAGAGGGUGCGAGCGUUAAUCGGAAUUACUGGGGCGUAAAGCGUACGCAGACGGUUGCGUAAGUCAGAUGUGAAAGCCCCGGGCUCAACCUGGGAAUUGCAUUUGAGACUGCUCUGCUCGGGUGCGGAAGAGGGAAGCGGAAUUUCCGGUGUAGCGGUGAAAUGCGUAGAUAUCGGAAGGAACACCAGUGGCGAAAAGCGGCUUCCUGGUCCGGACACCGGACGUCAGGCACGAAAGCGUGGGGAGCAAACAGG